GUCCGGUCAGAUUGGGGACGUUAAAUCCGAUGCCUCAUGUAAGGAGAGUGCCACGCUCUUUAAGAACCCCUUGCACAACCUUUGAGGGGUCCGUAGGUGCCUGUUGCAAGGCAAAAUUCUCUUCCCUAUCCAAUAUACCCUCAUUUUCCAGUGGCAGUCCAAACUUCCACGACCAUCAUCCCAGAUGGCCUCUAUUAUUUCAAGAC
rnacentral:lncRNA from 1 species